GACGAACGCUGGCGGCGUGCUUAACACAUGCAAGUCGAACGGAAAGGCCCUGCUUGCAGGGUACUCGAGUGGCGAACGGGUGAGUAACACGUGGGUGAUCUGCCCUGCACUUCGGGAUAAGCCUGGGAAACUGGGUCUAAUACCGGAUAGGAGCCAUUUUUAGUGUGAUGGUUGGAAAGUUUUUUCGGUGUAGGAUGAGCUCGCGGCCUAUCAGCUUGUUGGUGGGGUAAUGGCCUACCAAGGCGGCGACGGGUAGCCGGCCUGAGAGGGUGGACGGCCACAUUGAGACUGAGAUACGGCCCAGACUCCUACGGGAGGCAGAAGUGGGGAAUAUUGCACAAUGGGCGCAAGCCUGAUGCAGAGACGCCGCGUGGGGGAUGACGGCCUUCGGGUUGUAAACUCCUUUCGCUAGGGACGAAGCUUUUUGUGACGGUACCUAGAUAAGAAGCACCGGCUAACUACGUG
rnacentral:rRNA from 1 species